rnacentral:ncRNA from 1 species
AGGUAGGUUUGGACUCUCGGGCCCGAACUGUUACAGUCCUCCGUUUGUCAUGGCCCGGACCUGACCGAGGAGCUUGCGGUGCAUGCCGUUCGGCUAGGGUCCCGUCUUCCCGGUCGGUCGUCGAAUGCGGUGGACUGCGUGCAGUGCGCCGCGACUGCUGCCGGUCGCGAGGGCGGUGAUUUCGUACUAUUCACCCACGACGUUGGCGGUCAUAUGGCCUCAUCCGACCCGUCUUGAAACACGGACCAAGGAGUCUAACAUGUGUGCGAGUCUUUGAGUGACCGAAACUCCGAGGCGUAAUGAAAGUGAAGGCGACUUCGGUCGCUGAGGUGAGAGCCUUUUUCCAAAAAAAGAAGGCGCAUCAUUGACCGACCUAUUCUACUCUUAGAAAGGUUUGAGUAAGAGCGCAUCUGUUGGGACCCGAAAGAUGGUGAACUAUGCCUGAAUAGGGUGAAGCCAGAGGAAUCUCUGGUGGAGGCUCGUAGCGAUUCUGACGUGCAAAUCGAUCGUCAAAUUUGGGUAUAGGGGCGAAAGACUAAUCGAACUGUCUAGUAGCUGGUUCCCUCCGAAGUUUCCCUCAGGAUAGCUGGAACUUACGGCAGUUUUAUCAGGUAAAGCGAAUGAUUAGAGGUCUUAGGGUUAAAACAACCUUAACCUAUUCUCAAACUUUAAAUUGGUAAGAAGUCCGACUUGCUUAAUUGAAGCCGGACAGUGAAUGCGAGUUCCUAGUGGGCCAUUUUUGGUAAGCAGAACUGGCGAUGCGGGAUGAACCGAACGCGCGGUUAAGGUGCCAAAGUCGACGCUCAUCAGACCCCACAAAAG